ensembl:lncRNA
GUGCGCUUUCCUCGAGGCGGACUGAGAAGCACUGGGAGGAGCGGGCGCCAGCCAGCAUUAUUUUCUUACGAGGGGUGGGGAGGUGGGAUGGGGGGUGGAGAGGACGGGGGAGGGGGCGGCAGGCGGAGCAACAGCUCCGAGCCCUGGGGGGGAGGGUCCUGGAGCCCGGGGGGGCCGUCGCCCGCAUCCCCCACCUCCCGCCGCGAGAGUCGGAGCGUGGCUCCCGCCGAAGCCAAGCCGAGCCUUCAGCGCGUCCGCGCAGGGGGCGGGGGCGAGGACCGGUGGGGCCCUUCGCCUGUCGCCUCCCCUUCGUCCCCGAGCCGAGCGGCACUGGCCUGCACCCGCCGGUCCCGGGCUCUGUCGCGCUGGCUCCGCGAUCCCCGGGCUCCUCGCUGCCGGCUGCGGGCCCACCGCGGCCAGGCGGAGGGCGUAAUCCGGCGCGGCGCCGCCACUGCUCUGCCCCGACGCAGGCGGGCUUCUCUCGUGGAGCACGGCGUCCAGCGCUGCAGGGCCGGCGAUCAGAAGCAGCCGGCCGACAGCGGCCCGCCGAGGAGCCGGGGCGCCCCGGGGACGCUCCGGGGGGGGCCUCGGGAGCCCGGCUCCGGGCGCGCCAUGCACGCCUCGGGCCCUGCGCCGCUCCGGCCGCUCGCUCCGCUCCUCCCUUCUCGCCCGCUCGCCGCCGCCGGAGCGCCCUCCGCAUCCCCUCCUCCCGCCGCCUCCCCGCCCCCCGCGCCGCUCCGGCUUCGGCUCACAGCGGCGCGCUGCCGCCUCCGCCCUCGGCCGGGCCGCGGCCCCAGCCUUUGCGCGGCGCGGGCAUCCUCGGGCCCGGCCGAGAUCUCGGGGACCCCUGCUCCCCUUCCUCACCUAAAAUCCGCGCUGCGCCGCGCCCCUCCCUCCCUGGAGCCGGGUCCAGCCCGCUGUCCCUCGCAGGACCACGCUGGAGGGCGGUCCUCCCCAACCCCCGGUUUGGGUCCCUGAGCCCCCAGUCCUAGCUCCCCUCUUUUGUAUCACCUCUACUUCCCCCUCCCCCAUUCAACCCAACUUCAGCCCUGGCCCUGAGCCCCCCUUCCCUGGCCCGGCUGGAUUGGCCGUUUCCUGAGCUGUCAGACUCAAGUCCGGCGCUCUCAUUGGGCGAUUCACUGGCCGGGCGACCAUGCCAAAAGAGGGCGCGCCGGGCGGGGGGCGCCCGGGCAGCGACUUCGGGAGGGAACCCGAGGCAGAGUCCCUGGAGAGCCCCGAGGGGCCCCAGAGCCAGACCCAGAAAUGGACUGGGAGAUGCAGAGACUGAGGACCUCUGAGGCAAAGGAAGACCGCGAAGGGAAAGAUGGAGAUGCAGUGGACCUUCUAACAGGAGCUCCGAGGCCUGAGAGAGAUGCCUCCUCCCCCGACCCCCUCUGCUGGUCAUCUCUUUGCAGACUGGAAGAUGAAUCUUGCCAGAGCUACAGAUUGGGAGGAGAAAAAUUCCAAGAGAUCUGACUAAAGUAACCCUUGAGGAAUCGUCCAGCCUUUGAGUAACCCAUGAUUAGCUAAAUCAUAAAAAGAAACGUGAAAUCAGUCAACAAAAACUCUAGAGCGCCCUCAAUGUGCAAAGCACUGUUAGGUGCUACCACCCUGGGAGAGAGAUGACCAGACUCAGGACCAGGCACUUACUGUCAAGAAGGGAGCAGAGCUGGCCCUUCCCACCAGGUCCAGCCAAGUUCAGUGCAGUCAGAACUGCAAGAUCGUGCUAUGUUCAGAGAGAGGCAGAUUGCUUCCCACUGUGAGGGUCAGAGAGACUCUGGAGGCACAAUCCAAGUCUAGCAUGGAGAAAGAAAAGGGAAGAUGGACUCAUGUUUAUUUAGCUGCUG